rnacentral:rRNA from 1 species
CCUACGGGAGGCAGCAGUGGGGAAUAUUGCACAAUGGGCGAAAGCCUGAUGCAGCAACGCCGCGUGAAGGAAGAAGGGUUUCGGCUCGUAAACUUCUAUUAACAGGGACGAAAGAAAUGACGGUACCUGAAUAAGAAGCCUCGGCUAACUACGUGCCAGCAGCCGCGGUAAUACGGAGGGGGCAAGCGUUAUCCGGAAUUACGGGGUGUAAAGGGUGAGUAGGGGGCAUGGUAAGCCAGAUGUGAAAGCCUUGGGCUUAACCCGAGGAUUGCAGUUGGAACUAUCAAGCUAGAGUCCAGGAGAGGAAAGCGGAAUUCCUAGUGUAGCGGUGAAAUGCGUAGAUAUUAGGAAGAACACC